GGAAGGAGGAGGCAGCCAGACUGGCCACCACUGUUCUCUGCAGCAGAAGACCCCUUGCUGCCAGGGUGUUCUAACUCACAACAAAAAGUCCGAUGAUACAUACUGCUGCAUUGUUUCAGGAAGGAGGGAGUGCACAAGAUCACAGGUGGUCACCAGCAACAUGGAAGUAAGUCCUUAAGAGAUUACCAUCUGAUGCUUGGACAAUGACAUCUUUUGAUUUGAAUACAGAAUGACAUUUCUCAGCUUCACAAAAGUCUUCUGCAGUGUGAAAACUUUCCUGCAGCCACAGGAUUUAGAUAAUUUAGGUACUAGAAAGAGGAAGACCAAUGGAUUGAAUCAGGUCUGGCUAUAAAGAUUAAUAUAUGUCGAGCUGUUGGAAGCUUAUUUGUAAGUCUGUGGUGACCUGUCAUAUCAUGUGCUAAACAUGGACAUUAGAAAACAAUUACUUUGCAUUUUGUUUCUUUUUUGACUUAAAAACUACUUUUUAUCAGUUUUAAAAACUCAUCAGCUUUGGGUUGUUUGUUUGCUAUCUGGUGCAUAUUUAUAUUAGGAGCUUGUGAUUUGCAUGUAUAUACAUCUCUUUAUUGUUGGCUUAAAAUAUAUAUAUUAGCCAACAUCCAGACUAACAAAGUGCCCAUGUUGCUAACAGUGGGCUGGUGCAAUGGGGAAGGGACAAUUUUAAACGCACCAGGCAAUAUUGAAUAAAUCAAUUAA